UCAUGUAACUCAUGUUGCACAGCAGAAUGUAUUCCCGUUGUUGAAAGAAAUAGAUCUUGGUAGCAAUGAAUUGAAAGGGACUCUUGUAUUCCCGUUGUUGAAAGAAAUAGAUCUUGGAAGCAAUGAAUUGAAAGGGACUCUGACCAGGACUGGAAACUUAUUUGAGUUGGGCACAUUGGAUAUAUCUUUCAAUCAUUUUGAAGGUGAGAUCUCUCAACUCCACCUAUCAAAUCUCCCUAGAUUGAGGAAUUUGGACUUGUCCUCUAACUCAUUUACACUGAAACUCAGCUCUAACUGGAUUCAUUCCAUUUGGAAUUCUUGAAUCUGAGAUCAUGCAAUUCAGGACCAGAUUUCCCCAGUUGGUUGGCAACUCAAAAGAACCUAUACUACCUUGAUAUUUCUUGUAACGAAAUUUCGGAUACCAUUCCUAAGUGGCUUGGGGACUCUACUCCUAACAUGCAUUAUUUAGAUCUCUCAAGUAAUCAAAUUCAUGGCAGGCUGCCAAAUUUAUCGACAAAAUUUCCAAGCCUUGUUGUAGAUCUGAGUUCCGACAGCUUUAAGUGUCCAUUGCCAGUACUCGACUGUCUUAACGCUAUCUAAUAAUUUCAUUUCUGGCUCAAUUUUGUCCUUAUCUAACACCACCACUUUGCUUUACCUUGACAUCUCAAAUAACCAAUUAUCUGGAUUGCUGCCAGACUACUGUGUUCCAAGGUGGACUACCUAAAAUCCUAAAUUUGGCCAACAAUAAUUUCUCCAGAAAGAUCCCCAGAUCCAUAGGUAAACUUUGUCAGAUCAAAACCGAGUCUACAAAAGAAUAGUUUCUUGGGAGAAUUUGACAUAUACAGAUCUUAGUGAAAACAAAUUCUCUAGAAAAGUACCAUUAUGGAUUGGGGAAAGCCUAUGUGGAAUGCAAAAUCUACAAAACUUAAAUCUAGCGCAGAACAUAUGUUUGGAAACAUGUCACUAUGCCUCACCAGACUUACUGUAUGACUGAGUUAAACCUUUUAGGCAACAAACUGACUGGAAAAUUACCUGACGAAACAUCAAUUCUUUCUGGUCUGAUUGCGAGAGAUUCCCAGAAACAUCGGCAAAAUGAUACAUUUGGAGUCGCUCCAUUUGUCUGAAAAUCCAUUUUCAGUGGUUUUACAUGGGUAUGCUAAUGGGGUUCCCUGUUGGAUUUUGGGGAAAUUUGGGUAGUUUGUGUCUCAGCCGUACUUGGAGACAUUCAUAUUUCCUGUUGCUGUUCAGCUUAAAAGACUGGCUCUUGUUAAGUUGGCACUCUCAACUGCAAAUUACAAAGGAGGUUCAAAACAAAUGACAGCCACUAAACAUAGAAUCAGACACUCUGUUGUUCUCCACUUACACAAAACUGUCCUCUUGAAGCCACACUCAGUCAAACUCAAAAAAUUCAAGGUGAUGAAGAUGAAUUCAAGAGAUGGUUAUCUGGGAACGGGGACGGGGUCGUUACUG